rnacentral:snoRNA from 1 species
ACGACCUUACUGAACAGGAUCAGUUCUAUAGAGUAGUACGGUAGUACCUCUGUAUCCUUGAGUAAAAAGGAGACGGAAACCAAAACUUAGUUGAUGAAUCAAAACUGUGCGCUCAGAGCGUGAUUAACAGCUUGGAGCUCAUGAUGUUGGGUCUCUCUAGCAACAGAGGAUCGUCCGAGGCCUACUUCGGUGGUCAUGCGGUUGCUGACAGAUU